UGGAAGAAUCUUGAAUAGAGUGAAACAUGC
rnacentral:piRNA from 2 species